UACGGAGGGUGCAAGCGUUAUUCGGAAUUACUGGGCGUAAAGCGCACGUAGGCUGCUUUGUAAGUCAGGGGUGAAAUCCCACGGCUCAACCGUGGAACUGCCUUUGAAACUGCGGAGCUUGAAUCCUGGAGAGGGUGGCGGAAUUCCUGGUGUAGGAGUGAAAUCCGUAGAUAUCAGGAGGAACACCGGUGGCGAAGGCGGCCACCUGGACAGGUAUUGACGCUGAGGCACGAAAGCGUGGGGAG
rnacentral:rRNA from 1 species